rnacentral:snRNA from 9 species
AUUCUUUUCUGACGUAGGGAUACCGUGAUCAUUCAUGCGGUUCCCCCAGGGAGAGGCUGCUCCAUUGCACUGCGGAGUGGUUGACCCUUGCGAUUUCUUAUUUUUUAUAAGUUUCACUUGUACUGUGUGUGACUUGCACACA